rnacentral:rRNA from 1 species
CGUGGGUAACCUGCCCAAGAGAUCGGGAUAACACCUGGAAACAGAUGCUAAUACCGGAUAACAACAGAUGAUGCCUAUCAACUGUUUAAAAGAUGGUUCUGCUAUCACUCUUGGAUGGACCUGCGGUGCAUUAGCUAGUUGGUAGGGUAACGGCCUACCAAGGCGAUGAUGCAUAGCCGAGUUGAGAGACUGAUCGGCCACAUUGGGACUUAGACACGGCCCAAACUCCUACGGGAGGCAGCAGGG